rnacentral:rRNA from 1 species
UCCAGGCCCUACGGGGCGCAGCAGGCGCGAAACCUCCGCAAUGCGGGCAACCGCGACGGGGGGACCCCCAGUGCCGUGGCAAAGCCACGGCUUUUCCGGAGUGUAAAAAGCUCCGGGAAUAAGGGCUGGGCAAGGCCGGUGGCAGCCGCCGCGGUAAUACCGGCGGCCCAAGUGGUGGCCACUAUUAUUGGGCCUAAAGCGUCCGUAGCCGGGCCCGUAAGUCCCUGGCGAAAUCCCACGGCUCAACCGUGGGGCUUGCUGGGGAUACUGCGGGCCUUGGGACCGGGAGAGGCCGGGGGUACUCCUGGGGUAGGGGUGAAAUCCUAUAAUCCCAGGAGGACCGCCAGUGGCGAAGGCGCCCGGCUGGAACGGGUCCGACGGUGAGGGACGAAGGCCAGGGGAGCGAACCGGAUUAGAUACCCCGGGUAGUCCUGGCUGUAAAGGAUGCGGGCUAGGUGUCNGGGCGAGCUUCGGGCUCGCCCGGUGCCGAAGGGAAGCCGUUAAGCCCGCCGCCUGGGGAGUACGGCCGCAAGGCUGAAACUUAAAGGAAUUGGCGGGGGAGCACUACAAGGGGUGGAGCGUGCGGUUUAAUUGGAUUCAACGCCGGGAACCUCACCGGGGGCGACGGCAGGAUGAAGGCCAGGCUGAAGGUCUUGCCGGACACGCCGAGAGGAGGUGCAUGGCCGCCGUCAGCUCGUACCGUGAGGCGUCCACUUAAGUGUGGUAACGAGCGAGACCCGCGCCCCCAGUUGCCAGUCCUCCCCGCUGGGGAGGAGGCACUCUGGGGGGACCGCCGGCGAUAAGCCGGAGGAAGGAGCGGGCGACGGUAGGUCAGUAUGCCCCGAAACCCCCGGGCUACACGCGCGCUACAAUGGGCGGGACAAUGGGAUCCGACCCCGAAAGGGGAAGGGAAUCCCCUAAACCCGCCCCCAGUUCGGAUCGCGGGCUGCAACUCGCCCGCGUGAAGCUGGAAUCCCUAGUAUCCGCGUGUCAUCAUCGCGCGGUGAAUACGUCCCUGCUCCUUGCACACACCGCCCGUC